rnacentral:misc_RNA from 1 species
CGCACAUUGCGCCCCUUGGUAUUCCGGGGGGCACGCCUGUCCGAGCGUCAUUACACCCCUCAAGCGUAGCUUGGUGUUGGGCCCCGUCCGGGAUGGACGCGCCCGAAAAACAGUGGCGGUCCGGCGGGACUCUUAGGCGUCGUGAAAUCUUUUCGCCUCGAGAGCGCCGUCGCGGCCGGCCAGAUGACCCAUAAUUUUCCAAAAAUUGACCUCGGAUCAGGUGGGGAUACCCGCUGAACUUAA